rnacentral:rRNA from 1 species
GAUGAACGCUGGCGGCGUGCUUAACACAUGCAAGUCGAACGGAACUUGUUGGAAUGAGACUUCGGUCAAAUGAAUUCAAGUUUAGUGGCGGACGGGUGAGCAACGCGUGAGGAACCUGCCUUGGAGUGGGGAAUAACACAGAGAAAUUUGUGCUAAUACCGCAUAAUGCAUUUGAGCUGCAUGGCUCGAAUGCCAAAGAUUUAUCGCUCUAAGAUGGCCUCGCGUCUGAUUAGCUAGUUGGUAGGGUAACGGCCUACCAAGGCGACGAUCAGUAGACGGACUGAGAGGUUGGCCGGCCACAUUGGGACUGAGACACGGCCCAGACUCCUACGGGAGGCAGCAGUGGGGAAUAUUGGGCAAUGGGCGCAAGCCUGACCCAGCAACGCCGCGUGAAGGAAGAAGGCUUUCGGGUUGUAAACUUCUUUUAUCAGGGACGAUAAUGACGGUACCUGAUGAAUAAGCCACGGCUAACUACGUGCCAGCCGCCGCGGUAAGAC